GGAAAAAAAAAAAUUAAAGAUAAAACCUAAGGAAACAAAACUCUUAUCUUUUUCGCCCUUCUCUAUCUGUGACGGCGUUCUACCAAAGCUCUGUCUCUAAGGCUCCUCUGAAUCUCCCAUCUUUGAAGUUCUCAUCUCUGCUAGGUUAUUCGUUGCUGUUCCAAUUAUUGAAAUUUUUGGAUUCGAUACAGCUCGAUUGAUCAAAGCACCAACCAUCGCAUUCUUUGCUCUGUUAAAGGGUUAAGCAACAGGUCAAUUGCAUUGCACUUGAUUUACUGUGCGCCAUGAGUUAACGAAUGCAGAGAAAUUUUAUUUUAUUUUUAUUUUUUCACCUUAAAUAGCAUCAUGAUGAAUUAAAUUCUGAUCAGCUUUAUUGUUGCCUUCGUUGAGUACUCCAAUUGAUGGGCUGGUCAAAUAUCUCUUUGAAUUCAAUUCUUCUGAAUACUUAGACUGUGGGUUGCAGGUUUCUGUUUGGGAUUUCACUCUCUGAUAGGCCUGUGUGGCAACAAUUCAUUAUUUGCUCUUCUGGGUUGUUCUUUGGCUACCUUGUCAAUUGUGUCUGUGAGAAGUAAAGGCAGCAAAUUAAAAAUAGAGAAACAAAAAAGAAUAGUCUACUUAAUUGCGAGGUGUUAAGGGGUUUUGUUCUAUAGGUGAGAGUCACUUCGUCUUUCUUGCAAAUUGUAGAAUUGUUAAUUCAUGGGCAUUAAGAACAACAGUAGAUGAACUGGAUAAACUAAUAUGUUCUCACCUUAUUUGCUGAUGCAUGACUUUCAGAUUAGGUGGCUUUCUAUUGGACUUCUUAUUUGCUCAUAAAAAGUGCUGCGCAAAACAGUGGAUUGCUAUCUUACACAUUUUUGAAGACCACAGGAAAGAAGACAUUUAUUUUUGAUUUUGAAUUGUUGAGAGCACAAGGAUCGCUAAGUUGGUUUUGUUAUUGGUUUUAGACUAUUUUUGUUACUCCUUAGGUUAGGAAACACUUUGAUUGUUACUUUGGUUUUAUUAUUAUGAGAUUUA